AUCAUCACCAAUUUAAGUUUUCGUUCGUGUAUUUAAAAAAAACUAAAAUGUGUUGAAUAAACUUCUUUUAUUAGCUUUCAGUUAAUAAAACGGUUAAUUUAACAGAAAAUUAGUACAAAUGUAUCGAAAGCUGACAAUGAACUACAAAAACCGUGGCAACGCGUCAAAACACUGACUGAGCUUUAGUAUACAUUAACUGUCCCCAAUUUUUGUUUCCAAUAAUGUGAAUAGAACUAAGUUAAUGGCCGGUUUACGUUGUUCUAGUAGAGCUCCAGUUUAUCUUUCUAAUCCAAAGCUAUAAUUUGCUAGAGGGUAAUAUUUUAAAUCCAGUACAGUUUAAUAAAUCUAGUAACAAGUAGAUUGGAAGUCCAUUUUCCAAAACUACGAAUAGAACAGAAACUUUUUUAUGUAAAAUAAACUUUUACAAGCCUUUGAAAGCGCGUCAUAUUCCGUGCAAUUGGCAUAUUCACGAUCGAACCAAUAAAAUUCCAGUUCACGUGAUAACUUCAGUCUCAACUGCGUCGCCUUGCCAGCUGAGUUCCCGUGAAAAAGAACCCCGGAUGGGUUCGAAACUAGAUUGUCGGGUUUACUCGUAUGUCGAUUAAACACGUGAGUAUAGCUAGAAUCAUCUAUAUUUAUAGUGACAACUUUUACUAGUUCGCGUUGGAAAGACCUCACUGGACGUACCAACUGGAAUAAUGUAAACCGGUCAUUACAUCAUCGUUUUGAAGUUCAAAUUGUAUUUGAACUCCUAAACGUACUAACAGUUCUUCUAUUCGUAAUUAAUUGAUAGCAAUCAUUUUAUUACAUUAAAAAACAAAGAUAACAUAAUUCAUACAUAAUUAAAUUUAAAACCUCUCUAAGUAAAUAAAUGGUGAUUUGACGUACGUUAUACAAUUCUUUACAUCUAUUGUAAAUUAUAAAUUAAAAAAAACGCUUCAAACUAUACUCCGAUAAUCCGAAACAAUAUAUUAUACACUUUGCGCUAGAAAUACAACAAAUACACUUAUUACAAGCUACGCUACGAUGCUUGGUUACAUAGACUGAUAAUAAAUUAAUGAGCCAGACACAUUGUAACACGCUAUCCCAUCCCACACACCACAUACCCAGAGUCAAAAAUCAUAGGCGCAAGGCACAUUGCGGGUAAAAUAAAAAGAGUGGAUGUAAGUCUUUUCUGAAAUUUAGAGAAAACUGAACUUUAUCUUCUCUAAGUAACAUAAUACGUACAUAUUAUUUGUGAGGAACUCACAUUGUUGAAUAAUUCAACAAAACAAAAACAAAUCAUUUGACUAUUAGAUACGUAAAGUUUAGUAAGUUUUAUUUUUAUUUUAGAAAAGACGCGUCGUACCGCUUCGGCUGCCGCAAUGUGCCGCGAUCCGUAGCAUUUUCCGUGACCAACAAAUGUCUAAGAACGGGUUCCCGGGACCCGGGAGUUUACAAUACACCCGGUACUAAAGUAUCCUUACUCUGUGACACGGUCGAGUUAACUUAGCACCUGGCGCUGAUGGCGCCAUAAUUAUACGCCAACUGAGCUCACAAGACUAUUAGGCAUGACACAGAGCAGAGACCGAAUUACCGGCAUUUUUUUCGUAGCGUCAUUCACCAAAUGUUUCGGAGUUUUAACGUUAAAAAUUUUGAAACGGUAAUGUUUCCGGCGCAAAGAAGGAUUUUUUUCGCAUUCAGACGAGGUGUGUUAACUUGACUUGACGAAUAUUCGACGAGUAAAAUAUGUUCUCGUCGGGUCGAGUUAACAUGGCACCAAGUGGAAAAUACAAUCUGAUUUGUUUCAACACGCGUUGUUUGAUGUAGCGUAGGUUGGCGUGUUACAUAGUGUUCCCGGCAUAAUGCAUGAGAGUUACAUCCUUUAGUUUAGUUUCCCUAACAACUAUGAAAACGAGACACAUUACUGUGCAGCAUCCAAUAAAAUCACAACACGGUUGUGAAUGUGAGGGUAUAACAAACAGCUUACACCAGAGCAUGACAAGGUAGAUUUUAAUACCUAUAAAGCUUAGCUUAACCCCUGGUGCGAGUUGUGAUGACAAUAAUAUUCCCAGCCAAGCUUUUAAACAAUAA